UCCCAGUUGACGAGUCCCAAAUAGGACGAAAUGCGCGUUAUCCUGGCUGGAU
rnacentral:hammerhead_ribozyme from 1 species